rnacentral:rRNA from 1 species
UCGCCUGUUUUUUCAAAAACAUCGCCGAGUAAAAACACUCGGUCCCGUCUGCCCAGUGUUUGAAUAAACGGCCGCAGUACCCUGACUGUGCUAAGGUAGCGUAAUCAUUAGUCUUUUAAUUGAAGACUCGUAUGAACGACUAGACGAAAGGAUAACUGUCUCCUCGUUACGUAGAAAUUAUAAUCCGAGUAAAAAUCCUCCGAACAUUCAAAAGGACGACAAGACCCUAAAAACUUUCCUCUAAAGCUCGCGAAACCGAGAAACCCGCUCAACGCGCCCCGAGUUUAGCUGGGGCGGCUUGAAUUAAUCUAAACAAUUCCCACCCUAACAUAAUGAAUGACCCUUUGACAAACGCCUUUCAAUUUAUACCAAGUUACUUUAGGGAUAACAGCAUAAUUUUCCUAGAGAGCCCAUAUCGACAGGAGUAAAUGUGACCUCGAUGUUGAAUUGGAGUUUUCUUUCAGAAGUAGCCCUCGAAAUAGAAAGUCUGUUCGACUUUUAAUUCUUUACAUGAUUUGAGUCCAAACCGGA